UUCUUUUGAGCUUCUGAUUGUGUGAACUCCUCACAUUCAAAGCAGACCGGCUUGCUGAUUAGUUUUAAAUUUCAGGAGCUUUAAAGUCUCCCAAUUUGGAGGGGAAUUUUCAGGCAAGUUAAGUCAUAACUCAGGCCGGCUGCAGCUUGAGGCAUGCUGGGAUUUGAGCAGCCCGGUGGACUGUGGGCAGAGCAUGAAACUCUGAAUCUCUACAGCUGAACCCCAGAAGGAGGAUCUCCUGGGUAAGAGGGAUAUCUGAUCAAGAGCACUCGAGGUCAUCCCCCUCAAUUUCACUUUCCACUUGAGGCCCCUCACCCUCAUUUUGGCCCUUGCUGCUUCUCCUUUUAAACUCUAGCUGCAAAAUAGUAUACAGGAAACAGGACAGAAUUUUCCAAAAAAUCUGGGCUAAAUUUUAAGAGAAAUCAGCACACCAUACACAAAGCAUCUGAGUUACCCCAUCUAGCCAGCUCACCAUGGCAUUCAGGCCCAUCUCUUUCCUGGCUCUGAGUCAGGUGGGUGCCUAAACUUUGAAAGUAUGUUCCAGCCAUCUUAACCCAGGUGGAGGGUCAGAAAAGCUCCCCAGAGGAAGCAACACUGGAGCAGAGGCCUGAAGAAGGAAUGUCUGAACAAGGGGUGGGAGGAGAACAAGUCAGGGAUGCAAAGAAAAUAGUCCAGGCAGAAGAGAAAGCACAUGCAAAGGUCCUGGGGCAAAAGGGACCAUGGAGAAUUUGAGGGACUGCAGGAAAAAACAAAGUGUCUGAAAAGUAGACAGUAAAAGAGGAGAUGAAAAAUUAGACCAGAGAGAUAGGUCACAGCUCAGUUGCAAAGACAGGUGUAGCCAUGUAUGGUAAACACUGUGCUUUCAUGGAAGUGCUUGAUACCCCAGAUGCUGGGUGUGCUGUCAACAGCCAAUCUUCAGCUAUCAGGCUGUUCAGGGAUUAUCCUACCUUCAGAGAGUUUCCUCACCCAUGUUACACCUGUCAGAGGGCUGCUGACAACCAUUAAGUAUAAAUAGGAUUGAAGACAUGGAAACAACCUAAAUGUCCAUUGACAGAGGAGUGGAUCAAGAAGAUGCGGUACAUACAUACAAUGGAAUAUUACUCAGGCAUUAAAAUGAACAAAAUAAAGGCAUUUUUAGC